rnacentral:rRNA from 11 species
UUUUAAGUGCAUACUACCUAGAAAGAUAUCAGAUCCCCUCUGACCUUGGAAACAAAGCAGGGUCAGCCCUGGUUACUACAUAGAUUGUAAACCACCAGUGAACACCAGAUGCUGCAGAC